UCUUAUGUACAUGCCUACAACAUAGUGUUAAUGCAUCAGAUCUGAUUAAAUCUCUGUAGUUAAGUGCGCUCGGGCUAGAGUAGUACUGGGUGACUGCUUGGGUAGUCCUAGUAUUUUAUAUGCC
rnacentral:rRNA from 1 species